GAACCCUGUGGAUGUAUAAAAUUGUUCUCUGUGCACGGUGGAACCCUGUGGAUGUAUAACACUGUUCUCUGUGCAUGGUAGAACCCUGCACUGUUCUCUGUGCAUGGUGGAACCCUGUGGAUGUAUAACAUUGUUCUCUGUGCACGGUAGAACCCUGCACUGUUCUCUGUGCACGGUAGAAUCCUGCACUGUUCUCUGUGCAUGGUAGCCACAUCAUGAUGCUGCCACCGCCAUUCUUCACCGUAGGGAUGGUGUCAGGUUUCCUCCAGACGUCACGCUUGGCAUUCAAGCCAAAGAGUUCAAUCUUGUUUCUCAUGGUCUCAUUUCUAAAAACCUGUUUUUGCAUUGUCAUUAUGUGGUAUUGUGUGUAUAUCGACGAGGAAAUAAGGUUACUGAAUCCAUUUCAGAUUAGGGCUUUAACGUAACAAAAUGUGCAAAAAAAAGUCAAAGGGGUCUGAAUACUUUCCCGAAAUAUCCAAGUUUCAUUCUAGACACCAGAAGUAAAAAUGAAGGUCUCUUAACAGACCUUAUGCAAAGUUGGUAGAGACUUGUCAAAUAAGUAGCUGCUGCCAAAAGGUUGACUCAAAGGUCAACCGUGAGAUUACCACCUGUGACAUAGCUACGAUGACACACAUGGCUGCUGCACGAGAGAUCUGGGCCCCAGGUAACGAUCAUUUACAGGAGGAAGAAAACGUUCUGCAACGUGGGAAACCGGUUGCUCGCUGGGCCCCUCCUACUUCCGCCGUGCUGGAUGUAAGCCAUGCCUGACAGCCCCGCCCACGGACUUCCAUUACGCCCGCUGUGGGAGUAUAUCAAUACUGGGAAGACAGGAACAGGCUCAGAAAGAAAGAGGAGAGAGAGAGAGAGACAGAGAAAGAAAGACAGAGAGAGAGAGAGAGAGAGAGAGAAAUGGACCGAGAGUGCAUCACACGAGGGGUCAGGAGGAGAUGAAUAGAUCUACCCCACCUACCCAACGGACCCAUGGACCUUUUUGACCCCUCACCCCUGCAGCGAUUGGCUCUCCUGGUGUUGUGGCAGGGCCUGGCCAGCUCUGCCUUGUGGUACCAAGUGGAGAGGAGAGACAGAGACAAGGCUGAGACCUGGAUCCAGGCCAGGCGGUUCUGUCAGAGGCACUACGUUGACCUUGCUGUCCUAAGCACCCAGGACCAGUACCAGUUCCUUCUGCAGACCAUGGCUGCUGGUGAGAGGGACACCUUCUGGCUGGGUCUGCAGCCCCACACUGCCCCUGGUGGCUGGGGGUGGAAGUGGGUGGAUGGCCAGGGGCUGAGCUAUGAUCGCUGGUAUAUAAAGAGUCCUGGACCUGGACUCUGUGGUUGUCUGGAGACCAGCCUCAAAGGGGAGAAUAAACUACUGUCCAGAUCCUGUGGCGAGACCGUGGAACGACAUGGUUUCAUCUGCCAAGGCGCUGUACCCCCCGAGCGGCUAAAGGCGGAGUCUGAAGGGACUGAUCAUGUGACUGUGCAUUGGGACACGCCCCCUCUGAUGCAGACAGCUGAUCAUAGCUACAGAAUUACCACAUGUAGCUCCCAGCCUCACCCUCAUCUUUCUCUCCUCCACCCUUCUCUCCCUCCUUGCCACACCCCUCCUCUUUUCCUCUGUCCUUUCCCCCACCCCCCUCAUCCCACCACCCCAUGUUGCGUCCUCCACCUCCCCUACUCCAACAGCUCCACCUCCCACUCCACCCGGAUCUCUGGCCUAACCCCGGGAACCCAGUACACCAUCAGCGUUGCCAUAGUGAUCACGCGCCCAGAUCCUGUCACCGGUGACAACGUCACCACCGACAGUGACCCAGUCACGGUGACCGUCACAACAAUAGGGGGCGGUGGUGGGCAGCAGGUGGUUGCCAUGGUACUGAGUGUGGUCAAGUUCAUCUAUCUGGUUGUCUUACUCUGUUUACUUUACCUCAUCCUGAAGAGAAAUGCUGUCCAGGCUCCUGAACUUGAUCUGGAAUCAGUAGAACUCCCCACUGAAGAAGAAUACAUUUUAGACAUGAUUAAAACUGGUCCUACAUCAGUUGAAUUCCCUAAUGAAGAAUGCAUUGUUGAGCUGCCACCUGAAGAAUAAUGCAUUGUCUGACUAGAACUGGUUCUAGAUCAGUGGUGCCCACUCCUGGAGAAUGCAUUGUUUGAGCUGCCACCUGAUUACAACUGGUUGUAGAUCAGAUCUACCUGCCAAAUCUACCAGCUUUUCUUGAUAGUGUAAAGAGUUAAGGGAGAAUAUCAAUACAAGCCACAGACAGUAUGCGUUAUUAGUCUUGAUGCAUACUUAUAAACAAAAUAGUUUUAUCUUAACAAGAUAUACCUGUUUAACUAUACGUUUUUUGAAAAGUACUGAUACGCACUUAAGUGCAAAGUAGAUUUGCCUUAGUUCACAAAUGACACCCUAUUCCCUACAUAGUGCACUACUUUAGACCAGAUCCCUAUGGCACCCUAUUCCCUACAUAGUGCACUACAUAGUGCAAAGUAGAUUUGUUAUUAUCGACAAGGACUUAAUAAGCAUUGAGAAUGAGUUAAGCUGCCUCUUUAAUAAACAGGUUAGAAAAAUAGGUAUUUUGACCUCAGUACGACGUUUAGAAAAUGAUUUUAUUUAUUUAUUUUACGUUUUACCACACAUUGUCAGUCGUCGUGAUUUUCAUGCUGGGUAUGGAAACAUGUUGCCUCCUCCUGCAUAUAGAGACGAGAAAUGUACAUUAGUUGUAUGUCAUAAAGUAUGUAAGAUAUAUAGCCUUAGUUCACAAAUGACACCCUAUUCCCUACAUAGUGCACUACUUUAGACUAGAUCCCUAUGGCACGCUAUUCCCUACAUAGUGCACUACUUUAGACCAGAGCCCUAUGGAACCCUAUUCCCUACAUAGUGCACUACUUUAGACCAGAGCCCUAUAGAACCACAUUCCCUAUAUAGUGCACUACUUUAGACCAGAUCCUUAUGGCACCCUAUUCCCUACAUAGUGCACUACUUUAGACCAGAUCCCUAUGGAACCCUAUUCCCUACAUAGUGCACUACUUUAGACCAGAUCCCAAUGGCACCCUAUUCCCUACAUAGUGCACUACGUAGCAAAAAGGGUGAAAUUUGAGAUGCAGACAAAGGGAAAUAACAAGUGAAAGGUGAAAACCCCAUGAAAAUGAUUUUUGUAUGAAUGAUUUAGCUUUUUGUCUGAAUGAUUUAGCUUUUUGUUCAAAUGAUUUAGCUUUUUGUCUGAAUGAUUUAGGUUUUUGUCUGAAUGAUUUAGCUUUUUGUAUGAAUGAUUUAGCUUUUUGUCUGAAUGAUUUAGCUUUUUGUCUGAAUGAUUUAGCUUUUUGUCUGAAUGAUUUAGCUUUUUGUCUGAAUGAUUUAGCUUUUUGUCUGAAUGAUUUAGCUUUUUGUAUGAAUGAUUUAGCUUUUUGUCUGAAUGAUUUAGCUUUUUGUCUGAAUGAUUUAGCUUUUUGUCUGAAUGAUUUAGCUUUUUGUCUGAAUGAUUUAGCUUUUUGUCUGAAUUAUUUAGUUUUUUUCUACACGUUAUUUAGCUUUUGUAGACAUUAUUUAGCUUUUUGAACAAUUGACUUUAUUGUUGGCAUUUUGUCUUCUUCAACAAAACGUAUGAGUGGCUUAACAGCCUAACAUUGUAACAGGGUACUUCUAUAUUAGAAAUUUAACAGUAAAGUAACUUUUUGUGUUCUGGAAUUGACUGAGGUUCAUUUGUACUGCUCAAAUACUACUUUAGUCAAUAAAUAAACUCAUUGUUAUCGUUCGUUCCGUCUCUUUUUUACACAUUUUCAGAAAAUGAUCAACAGUCAAAAAAAAAGCUGCAAAGAUUGAGGGAACACAUGGAACAUUUUCCUUCCACUUCUCCACACACAUAUGACCUGAUCGAAGGUAUUAGAUUAAUGCCCCAUGGGCCCGCCCCCUGGGUCAACUGGGUCGGCGUUGGAACCGGGCUGCCUCUCGGGCGUGAGCCAGGUGCCCGUUUUGGUCCCAAGGCAAAGUCGACUCAAAUCAAACUUUAUUGGUCACAUACACAUGGUUAGCAGACGUUAAUGCGAGUGUAGCGAAAUGCUUGUGCUUCUAGUUCCGACAGUGCAGUAAUAUCUAACAAGUAAUAUCUAACAAUUCCCCAACAACUACCUAAUACACACACAUAUGUAAAGGGGUGAAUGUACAUAUAAAUAUAUGGAUGAGUGAUGGCCGAGCGGCAUAGGCAAGGUGCAGUAGAUGGUAUAAAAUACAGUAUAUGCAUGUGAUAUGAGUAAUGUAAGAUAUGUAAACAUUAUUAAAGUGGCAUUAUUUAAAGUGGCAUUGUUUAAAAUGAUCAAUUUAUUAAAGUGGCCAGUGAUUUGGUCUCCAUGUAGGCAGCAGCCUCUCUGAGUUAGUGAUGGCUGUUUAACAGUCUGAUGACCUUGAGAAAGAAGCUGCUUUUCCAGUCUCUCGGUCCCAGCUUUGAUGCACCUGUACUGACCUCGCCUUCUGGAUGAUAGCGGUGUGAACAGACAGUGGCUCGGGUGGUUGUUGUCCUUGAUGAUCUUUUUUGGCCUUCCUGUGACAUCGGGUGCUGUAGGUGUCAUGGAGGGCAGGUAGUUUGCCCACGGUGAUGCAUUGUGCAGACCGCACCAC
rnacentral:lncRNA from 13 species